GCUGGGAUAGCUCAGUCGGUAGAGCAUGGGACCCUUAAUCCCAGGGUCGUGGGUUUGAGUCCCAUGCUGGGCA